rnacentral:rRNA from 1 species
AUUGAACGCUGGCGGCAUGCCUUACACAUGCAAGUCGAACGGCAGCACGGGGCAACCUGGUGGCGAGUGGCGAACGGGUGAGUAAUGCAUCGGAACGUGCCAUUGAGUGGGGGAUAACGUAGCGAAAGUUGCGCUAAUACCGCAUAUUCUGUGAGCAGGAAAGCAGGGGACCGCAAGGCCUUGCGCUCUUUGAGCGGCCGAUGUCAGAUUAGCUAGUUGGUGAGGUAACGGCUUACCAAGGCGACGAUCUGUAGCGGGUCUGAGAGGAUGAUCCGCCACACUGGAACUGAGACACGGUCCAGACUCCUACGGAGGCAGCAGUGGGGAAUUUUGGACAAUGGGCGCAAGCCUGAUCCAGCCAUGCCGCGUGAGUGAAGAAGGCCUUCGGUUGUAAGACGU